rnacentral:rRNA from 1 species
CGGGGGAUAACACUUCUAACGGAGUGCUAAUACCGCAUAACACCAUUGAAUCGCAUGGUUCAUUGGUCAAAGAUGGCCUCUGAUUUAAGCUAUCACUUAAGGAUGGUCCCGCGUCUGAUUAGCUUGUUGGUGAGGUAAUGGCUCACCAAGGCGACGAUCAGUAGCUGGUCUGAGAGGAUGGUCAGCCACACUGGGACUGAGAUACGGCCCAG